ensembl:lncRNA
AUGAUAAGUUCCAAACUUACAGAAGGUGAAUUUGUUUCGCACUUUAACAUGAUUUUUGUUGUUGUUUUGUUUUUUGUUCUCUUUUCUUCCCCAGGCUCGACUUCAGCGCACCCCCUCCAGCACGUCAGAGGACUCCCUGAAGCUCCAGAGCAGCAGCUCCAUCGAGCGGGAGAUCUGGGAGGGAGACUUAUCGUCCAGCCCCAGGAAGAACUCUCUGUCCAGGAUAGACUCCAAACAGAAGGGCCGCAGCCUCUUCUCCCUGGGCAGCAAAACUCAGAGCCUAGAAGGCCAAAACCAGAUGCCCACACGACUGCUGCAGCUGGCUUCAUCCAAAGAGAAGAAGGACAAGAAGAAGAAGAAGAGCAAGAGCCAGCCUCCUCAGGACGCAGCAUCACAUCUGCUGCCCCUGACAGAGCCUUCAAUGGACGGAGAGAUCUUCUUCUGCUGAUUUACCCAUCAUCCCUUCUGUCUUCUAUCAAAUCAUGUAGGAAGUCACCCAAAGUGCCCUCUUCAUCUUUCUACAAUCUAAAAAUUCUCACAAAACAUGUCCAGGUCACAUUACACCGCAAAAUCAACAGAAAUGAGUCAAAUCAGUCCUAUUUUAGGAUUGUUUUUAUUUUCUGUGGCAUUAUUUUAAUAACAGUCUAGCCCCUAAAUUCUCAUUACCGUAAUGUAUAAAUAGUGGUAAAAUAUUAUUUCAAUUGUAAAGUAUUUAUAUACUACGGUAAAUGUUUUUGUACUGCUUUAAAUAGUGUUUUAUUACAGCUGUAAUAAAGUUUGUUCUAUCACAGUAAUGAGAAUCACCAUUUAGAAUAAUAAUUAUUAUUAUUCCAAAAAAAAAAAAAAAAACUCAUGCAAAAAUGUUUAUGGGAAUCUCAUGUGUGUAUAUACAGUAUAUGUGUAUGUGUUUAUAUAUAUAUAUAUAUAUAUAUAUAUAUAUAUAUAUAUAUAUAUAUAUAUAUAUAUAUAUAUAUAUAUAUAUAUAUAUAUAUAUAUAUAUAUAUAAUAUGAUUAAUUCAGACAGCAUAUAUAUGCUACACAUUAAUUUCUUAGAUUUGCACUUGCUGUCACAGGUUUAUCAGACAAUUCCCAUCUUUGGAUACGUUGUUAAAAUGUACAUUGUAUAUUAAUUUCAAUUAUUGCACUCAUUUGCAAAUGAAUUGUGCCACCAACACAUUUGAAAUUGUGAGGAGAGAGGGAAGAGAGAGAGGUGGGGAGAGAGGUGGUUUUCCAUUUCCCCCAUGUUUUUCUAUUUUACCUUCUCCGAGGAGUCCCGUCUUUGAAAUGCCACAGAGCACUUUAACACCAUUCACAUGUUACCCUUGCCCCGAAAGUGACAAUCAAUUUUUCAUCAGCAUUCCAAAGAUAAAGACCUAAGGACAGUUUUUGGGGGCCAUUGUUUGAGAUUCUCUAAUUCUUCUGCGUUGAAUACUUCAUGACUUUAGCAGCACGGAUGAGCUGUAAAUACUGGAUGAACUUUAGACCCCUGAGGGAUAUUUAAAGCAACCUGCUGGACAGGUAAAAGACAUAAACAUCCACGAAAGAUAGGGUACCUCACCUAUACAAAUCCUCCCUUGUGGAUCAAAGCACCAUAUCAUAUGAAUAUCAGUAAUAAUACAUUUGAGAGUGUCCACUUAUUUCAUCAUGCAUGAAUAUUCACAUUACAGUCCUACAGGAUUUUGUUCUGUUGGCCUGAUUUUGUUAGGAGCUAUGUAUUGGUCCAUGAGAAUUUAUUUUUUAAGCAGUGCAUGCUCUUAAAGCCCCGUUUGCGUAGGUUUGCACUGCAGUCUUCACCUGCGCUGACUUGAAUUCACCAUGAGGGGGCAGCAGAGAAGCGUUUUAUAAUUGAAGGCUCCUCUGUGGAUUUACAUAACCUCUCAGUGAUGAUGUCAGAGGAGACACAGUGACGCAGUGCAGGAGUUAUUAUUUCUUCACAUGCACAAAAGGAAUCAUUGGUUUGUCAUUUCAUGUGCCUAUGAUUUUUAGAAACGUCACUUUUGUCCGAACAGGGAAAACUCAAUCCAGGUGAUAAAGUGCUGUCACGUCUCUGUUGCUCAGCCUUAAAGAAAUGAUGGUGUGCUCUAAAAUAUAAUCCAGCAUUCUCUCAGGAGUAUAGGUUUGUUUAUUCAUCUGUGUUUUGAAAGUAAGGUAUCAUUUGUACAUUGAGGUACAUGUUUUCUCGCUAUAAAAAAGAACUAAUGUUAUGUAAAUAUUUUAGAGUUUAAUGUUUAAAUGUAAAAUUCUGAAAAUGUUUAAUUUGUGAUUAAUUUUGUAAGAUGUGUUUUGUGAGACAUAAGGUUUAUUUAUCAUUCAUCCCAUUGUCUUGAAGCAGAAGACAAUAUUUCCUCACAUUAAAAUCUAUUGCAAUUUUUUUUUAUUUAAUUUUGUGGCUUGUAGUGUGUGUGUGUGUGUGUGUGUGUGUGUGUGUGUGUGUGUGUGUGUGUGUGUGAUCUGUCCACUGAAGGGCAGGUUAUUGUGUUUCAUUCAAAUUCACUGGACCAAACAGAUCAAGGUUACCUUUUGAUUUUAAAAAGAUUAAAGCAUUUAUUUAAGAAAUUGCCAAUGUAUGAAGAAUAUGCAGAACCUUUGAUCUCCAUGCAGUCUGCACUAUGACUCCUCCACUAACCUCUCAUUGAUGGACUGAGAUUAGAGGUGGGUCAUUUCUAAUUAUCAUGCCCCUCUUCAUCAUCAUCACAUGUCUUAAUAUACUGGAAAACAUUAAACUAGAUUUCAAAAAAAUUGUAUCCGUUUUACAAUGGAGAAGACACUGGGGUGAAUUUAGGCUUGAGCAGAUGUUUCAUGUUUGCCAACUUCUGCCCAAUUUAUUGAGACAACUCAAGGUGUUUCUUAAUGUCUGCUAAGAUAUCAUGGGGGAAUUUUAAUACAAAUAUAAAAAGGCACACAAGCGAAAACGCUGGAAUUUGUUUCAAAUAUAGUAAUAUUAAGCAAUAUUAAUGUUUUUAUUUACUCCAGAGAUUUAAUGUCAUUGUAAUGAAACCGCUAUCUUUUUGCAGAUUAAAUGAUUUUUAACACUGGCAGAAUAAAAACAUGAGAUCUAAAUUCAGGCCAAAAUUGUUUGCAUAUGCUGUACACCUUAAAGGUACAGUUUGUAGGACCUGCCACUAGAGGGCGCACUACCAAAACAAUAACAAUCAAAGAGCGUGGAAUGAUGGGAUUUGUUGUCUUCUACCCAACUGCUGUGCUGACGGCCAUCAAUCAGACGGAAAGAUAAAUCAUGGAUUUAACGUGAGUUCAACAAUUUUCGCGAGUAGAUUACAUACAAAGCAAAUGCAAAGAUGUGAUCAGAUUAUGGAUCAGACGCGUCGUCACGCGGGUCUAGAGACGCGAUGCCACGCGUUUGGCAUGUAUACCCCAUAACACUAAUCUUGUUGAUCGUUAUAAUAGCAUACGUUUUCUGUAAAGAUACAAAUCAAAACAACUCACCUGUCGAGUAAAACACAAGCGAGAUCGGCGUCUCUUUCUAGUUGAAGUUUGUCACGAAGCUACUUCUGCAUUUGUCCACGACACUGUUGUCAUGUGGUUUCUACGUCAGUAAAGGCGGGAACAAAGGGGAACUAACAUCACUGACAGGCGACUGCACUGCCCCUUGUCACUGUUCAGAAUGGGAAUUUUCUCAAGUUUAACAAGUAGUUGAAAACAUUAGAGAUAAUGUUAGUAAUCAGCUGGGAAAAAAAAAUAUAACACUAGCCUAGAGGUUUUGGGGUAUUUUACUGCAAAUAUCCUAUAAAUUGUACCUUUAACAGUUCCAUAAUGGCAUAAUCACCCAGGAAGUGAGAUCAUUUUGGAGGGAAAACCACGGUACAAACAAACAUCAGUUAGUAUAGCAGUGAGUUUCUUUAGUUCUGUGGUAAGAGUUGGUUUGUUUCAGUCUAAACAGUUUGAUACUGUUCGAUAAGUCAUUGCAAUAUCAGUAUUUCAGAAGAUAUUAAAAUCAGGCAUCCGCAUGUUGGUUAACUUUUAGCAGUGGUUCAUUUUAGCUAGUAAUGAACAGAGUUUUCUGAAUCAUUUGAACCAAUUGCUUUGUAAAACUACCAAAAUCUUUCUAAUAACAUGAUUUCACUCAGACACAACAAUCACCAAAAUCCAAUGUACCUACAGGCCAGUUUGGAAAAUUGUAGUAAAGUAAAUCCCCUUCACCAGAUAAUUAAACAGUGAUGCUGUCCUUGAUUUCAAGUAGACGUUCAAAAAUGUCUUUAAGAUGUUUCUGAUUUAGAGAGUUUUCUGUUUCAGUUUUCCAGCUCUAUUUCUAACCUGUUAAUUUUUAAUGUCUUUUUUUUUCACUGACCAGAGCAUAUUUCUAGAAAUAUGUAUCCUUUAGAGAAAUACUUAAAUACAUGACAGCACGUGCACAUUCAAGCAUAUUUUUAAGGUGUUGCAUAACAGGAUUGAGCCCGGCCUGUGAUUAGCAAUGACAUUCAUAUGUUUAAUGCAUUGAUGGUGUGUAAAUGCUCUGUCCUGUGUUUCCUUGUUAGCUCCAUUGCAGUGAUGUGGGAUGCCAGCUGUCGGUUGCAGUGCUGAGAAACCUGUUGCUAAGGUAACAAUCCAUGUAGAUUGCUGGGAAGAGAGUGAGUGCACGAUGCAGGGAUCACUGAAUGUCAUCAAGAUUUAUUGAAUGAGUGAUUUUUAGAUGUUUGCUACAACCCGCUAAGAGUUAGGUUAAAGGCAACGAGCAGUUUCUGUAUUUUUACAACUGGCUCAGUCAUGUGUGAAUUUCUGCUAGAUUGCUUCAGUUCUGUGUGAGGAAUUCUGCUGGAUUGUGUUAUUAGAAAAUGUGAAAAAUAGCCCAGUAAAUAAUAGACCACUACAGUUCUGUGUUAAUGAGGUGUGACCUGAAGCUCAAGUCAACAGAAAUGACAUUUGUAAACCAUAUUGCCUUUGUGUUGUGAUGUAGGGGUUAGGGAAACAUAGCGUAUCUGUGGAAAAAAUAUAUAAAAAGAUUCAAAGUGCAAUGACAAUAAGUAGAGAGAGCAUCUUUGUUCUCAGAAGUGAACUUGUUUGAAUGUUAUGUCACUGAUGGAGAUCAUAUCUCCUAAUUGUUUAUCAGUCAUCAUGAAAGCUGGACCAGUAACAGAUCAAAUAAUACACAUCUAUAAUUGCAUUUCAGCAUGUGAAAGGCUUUUGGCUUUGACUUUUGCUUUUGCCCAGCGGAACCAAAAGUGGAAACAACUUCAGGAUGUGGAGAAACAAUAUUUAUCAUCAAUACACUGAUAAUGCCAUAAUGUGAUUAAAGGCAUGUCUGCCUAAAAGCUUUCUGAUGUCACUUAAAGUUUUUUAAAAAAGUAAAAAAAAAAAAAAGUUUGUCAUUGCUGACUUUCGGAGGAAAUGGCUUCAUAACUUGUGUAUUGUUGACUCUACAUAUUAGUCUGGU